UACGAAGGGGGCUAGCGUUGUUCGGAAUUACUGGGCGUAAAGCGCAUGUAGGCGGCGAUUCAAGUCGGGGGUGAAAUCCUGAGGCUCAACCUCAGAACUGCCUUCGAUACUGUCUUGCUUGAGUGUGGAAGAGGUUGAUGGAACUGCAAGUGUAGAGGUGAAAUUCGUAGAUAUUUGCAAGAACACCAGUGGCGAAGGCGAUCAACUGGUCCAUUACUGACGCUGAGAUGCGAAAGCGUGGGGAGCAAACAGG
rnacentral:rRNA from 1 species